rnacentral:rRNA from 1 species
AGUGAACGCUGGCGGUAGGCCUAACACAUGCAAGUCGAACGGCAGCACAGUAAGAGCUUGCUCUUACGGGUGGCGAGUGGCGGGCGGGUGAGGAAUACAUCGGAAUCUACUUUUUCGUGGGGGAUAACGUAGGGAAACUUACGCUAAUACCGCAUACGACCUACGGUUGAAAGCAGGGGAUCUUCGGACCUUGCGCGAUUGAAUGAGCCGAUGUCGGAUUAGCUAGUUGGCGGGGUAAAGGCCCACCAAGGCGACGAUCCGUAGCUGGUCUGAGAGGAUGAUCAGCCACACUGGAACUGAGACACGGUCCAGACUCCUACGGGAGGCAGCAGUGGGGAAUAUUGGACAAUGGGCGCAAGCCUGAUCCAGCCAUACCGCGUGGGUGAAGAAGGCCUUCGGGUUGUAAAGCCCUUUUGUUGGGAAAGAAAAGCAGCAGGUUAAUACCCCGCUGUUCUGACGGUACCCAAAGAAUAAGCACCGGCUAACUUCGUG